UAUAUAUAUAUAUAUAUAUAUAUAUAUAUAUUAUGUGUUGACGUCACUUCACUGGGAUCCAUUAACAGAAUACUUAUUGUUGUUGUAGUUUUAUUUUCUGUAUCUGGUGAUGGCCCCCUCUGACCCGACACACUCAGGAGCGGGACCACCGGCCUCUAUUGUUCCAGUCUUUUGUCUGCCCCGUGUUGACAUUAGGUUAGAUGAGGGCAACCUGUGAACCUUGGACGUUGGAGUCAAGUGCUCAGACAAUGGCUGUCGUUCAUCAGCGUGGCGAGUGUGGGAUUCGAGGAAAAUAAGACAGUUCUUAUUUUUUUAUAUAUCGGUGUACUUUUUCACCCCCCUUUUUUUUAACUAAAUCAUGGCAUUUCAUGUGCCAGACGUACCAAGUGUACAAUCUCAGCAACAGCUUUAGUCAUUGGUCGUGUGUACUAGGUUAUUCUGUAUGGCCAACAAUGACAUUUCCCUCCCAGAAGAUUGAUGAAACCCCCAGAUCUAGGCGAGAUCCCUGAGACAGUGCCAUAUUUCUUUUCGCCACUCCUUCAUUCUUUUAUGGCUCCUACUCGUUAGAAGCAGUGCUUUCACAGAGAUGUGGCGGCGAGAGCUUUACGACGUUCACUUCAAAGGCUCGGUGUAUUGCUGACAUCACAGUCCCUGGUAAACCCAGCCUGAUACUAGGCUAGCUAACCUCAAGGGCUGGUUCUCUGGUCACACUCAUCGCCUGUGUUUUAAACAGAGGGGGAAUGGGCGUCUUGUCCCAAUGUCGUAAUGCCACUCUGGAUAAAAAAUAAUAGCGAUUAAAAAAGGAAAAUGGAAUCUAUUGUUUUAAUUUGCUCUUUUGUCACCCAGUGGAGACGAAGGAUCAACAGCCUUCAUCUUCCAUGUCUCAAACAAUCAAAAAAUAUUGCUUUCAAUAACAAAAUCAUUUUAUUUUCUUAUUUUACUUAAAUUGUAUUGGUCUGAUAAGCAUCUUGCCAUCUUUAUCAAAAAAUUGGCCUUUAAAAGGUGGUUCAAUAAUAUUGGGGAGCUAUAGUUUUCAGCGAUAUACUGUAGGUGAGCUAUAACAACGUAAUGAGCCCAGAGAAUCACGGAUAUAUUAUAAACCCGAGGCUAAACUAAUAGUAUUUAUUGUACCGCUCCACGUCACUAUGUCCAUGUCCACACAUUUUUUACUCGCGUACGCACACAAAUGGCAUGUUGAAACACGCCAGGUGACGGCAAACGCACCGCGGAGCAGUGGUUUAAAGGUUUGGUGUCUUGCUCAAGGACUCCUCUAAAAUUAAGCCGGGAGGAGCAGGGGAUCGAAGCCGGCUACACUUGAGCCGUGAGAAAAAGCUCCUGCUGUCCUAUCCCUCCUGGCUUCGCAUUAUGCAUUAGGCUGGCUGUGACUCUUCAAAAGGGGCUCAAAGAGAGUAGUCAGCUGACCCCCAGACACACACACACACACACACACACACACACACACACACACACACACACACACACACACACACACACACACACACACACACACACACACACACACACACACACACAGUUUAUUGCUCUGAUCGCAGGGCUGUGUAAGCAAGCGGCCUGGUUAAUAGAAAGGAUGACCUCUUUUAAAGUUUGGCCUCUGUUUCUGUUAAUUCAUGGAUGUGUGUGGGUGGGUACAGUGUAAGGCUUUCUUCCCUUUCUUUCCCAUCCCAUGGACACACACACACACACACACACACACACACACACACACACACACACACACACACACACACACACACACUCUCUUCCCAUGUGUGUCCAUGCGUUUCAUUCUAGGGCUCUGUACUCUGUCCAACAGGUGCCCACACAGCGAAGCAUA